GGUUCUUCCUUCUUCAUCGAUUGAUCUUCGAAAAACAUAGAUUUCUUCAUCUUCAAUCGCGAGUGGAAGCAACCAGUCCUUAUUAUGCGGCGUAUAAGGUUUUCCGAUUAAAUUCACGUAUUGAAGUAGAUUUUGAGCAAUUGUCAGAGGUGACGUUGUUUGCUGACACUAUUACAGUUCAACAAUUGGGAGUGAUGAUUUGGCAUACCAGAAAGGU